rnacentral:rRNA from 1 species
CGAAUAGUAUCCGGUUCCGUGAAGGGGGCCGGGGAAAGGGAGGCCUCUGGUACAAGCUUCCGCUCCUGGAUGAGCCCAUGGCCCAUCAGCUAGUUGGUAGGGUAAAGGCCUACCAAGGCGACGACGGGUAGCUGGUCUGAGAGGACAACCAGCCACACUGGCACUGAGACACGGGCCAGACUCCUACGGGAGGCAGCAGUGAGGAAUAUUGCGCAAUGGGGGCAACCCUGACGCAGCAACGCCGCGUGUGGGAAGAAGGCUUUCGGGUUGUAAACCACUUUUGCCCGGGACGAAAGGGGGGACCUGAAUAAGGUUGCCCGAUGACGGUACCGGGAGAAUAAGCCACGGCUAACUCUGUGCCAGCAGCCGCGGUAAGACAGAGGUGGCAAGCGUUGUUCGGAGUUACUGGGCGUAAAGAGUCUGUAGGUGGUCUGUCAAGUCUUUGGUGAAAGGCCGUGGCUUAACCACGGGAAUGCCAAAGAGACUGGCAGACUGGAGGCUGGGAGAGGGAAGCGGAAUUU